UACAGAGGUGGCAAGCGUUGUUCGGAAUUACUGGGCGUAAAGGGCGCGUAGGCGGCCUUCUAAGUCAGACGUGAAAUCCCCCGGCUUAACCUGGGAACUGCGUCUGAUACUGGAUGGCUUGAGUUCGGGAGAGGGAUGUGGAAUUCCAGGUGUAGCGGUGAAAUGCGUAGAUAUCUGGAGGAACACCGGUGGCGAAGGCGGCAUCCUGGACCGAGAUUGACGCUGAUGCGCGAAAGCCAGGGGAGCAAACGGG
rnacentral:rRNA from 1 species